AAGGAGUGUGUUGUUAGUGCAAGUUUUUUAGUGUACGAAAACUAAAAGGCAAAAUGAAAGUGAGCGAUUCGAUCGCAGGUGUGAAUCCUAACGAAAGGAGGCAGCAUCAUCCGGCCAUGACUUUUUGGAAAAGGUCUGAGAAAAAGCAUUAACAAUGUGACCCGAAAGGUGAUGAUCUAAACCAGAUUAGAAUGAAGUCAAAAGAAAUUUUGAUGGAGGUUCGAAUCCGUUCUGACGUGCAAAUCGAUGGUCGAAUGUUUGGUUUAGGGGCGAAAGACUAAUCGAAUCACCUGGUAGCUGGUUCCGGC
rnacentral:sRNA from 1 species